UAGGGAAUCUUCGGCAAUGGACGAAAGUCUGACCGAGCAACGCCGCGCGAGUGAAGAAGGUUUUCGGAUCGUAAAACUCUGUUGUUAGAGAAGAACAAGGACGUUAGUAACUGAACGUCCCCUGACGGUAUCUAACCAGAAAGCCACGGCUAACUACGUGCCAGCAGCCGCGGUAAUACGUAGGUGGCAAGCGUUGUCCGGAUUUAUUGGGCGUAAAGCGAGCGCAGGCGGUUUCUUAAGUCUGAUGUGAAAGCCCCCGGCUCAACCGGGGAGGGUCAUUGGAAGCUGGGAGACUUGAGUGCAGAAGAGGAGAGUGGAAUUCCAUGUGUAGCGGUGAAAUGCGUAGAUAUAUGGAGGAACACCAGUGGCGAAGGCGGCUCUCUGGUCUGUAACUGACGCUGAGGCUCGAAAGCGUGGGGAGCAAACAGG
rnacentral:rRNA from 1 species